UGUGCAUAGUGAUAAGUGACUAGAUCGACUUCAACUUAAAUGGUUGAAAAGCACACAUGGUCAAAUGCCUCUGAGUGACCGUCUCUAAUGUAGGGAGAGGAACAUGAUGGGAUGAUUUGGACCCAGAAUACCCGCGAAGAGCCAGAGGCAAGGUGGGUGCAGCCCUGAGACGGUAUGAGAACGAGUUCAGGGGGAGAAGGCUCCAGAAGAUCCAGAAAGACAUGUUGGAACGUAUCUUGACAGAGUUUGAAGGACUUUACGAAGUCAUGGACUCGGACCACGCUGAUCACAGUGAUGUGGACCUGCAUGAGAUAUGGCAAAGAGAGAUGCAGAAGCUGCACAUGGCGUGCAGGGCCUUCACUGCGAGGAGCGACCAAGUGUGUAGUUCAACACCAAAGAUCAACCCCUCUCAGGAAGAGAAGUGAACCAUCCAACGCUUUGCUCUAUCUGAGACAGAGAUCACUCCUGUGGUCCCCUUCUGCAUUGAGGAUGCCACGGAAUCACCCCCGCUGACUCCUCCUACUCCCGAGGCCAUCCUCUUCAAUCAGCAGGUUCCCCGGGCUUUGACUCUUCUUAACUGUCACCGUUGGGGUUGUGACUCCUUGCAGGCCUGAGACUCCGCCUGCUGUGGGGUAUUUACCACACUCUCGUCUGGGACCAAUCACCAACUUGAGCGCUGAUGCAAAGAAGCUGCUCCAAGGAGGAUUGGAAGAGCUCCAGUAGAAUAUCGCGAAAAAGAGGACUGACAAAGGGGAAAAGAAGGCCAAAGCCCAGUCAUACAUCGAACCACUGACUGUGGAGGAAGUUAGUGAGAAAAAGCAGGAGGAAGAUUCAGAAAACAACGUGAAGGAGAAGCGCAAGAUGGCAGCACCUGUAUCUGGGAUAUUUUGUCUUCAUUUUCGUACAGUGGGAGGAAGGUAAGUUGUUGACCCUAGGGCCAUACAGGGCUCUAGACUGCGACCAAAUGGUCACAUUUGACGAGCAGAAAAUCAAGACCACGCUGUCGCUGACAGUAGACCUACUGGCGACUUUCUUCCAUGGAAAGUAGCUAAGGUUUGUCCAAAAUGUCGCUAGAUUUGUCGCUAGGUGCUUUUUUGAAUACAAGUUGCUAAAGAGGACUGAAAAGUUGCUAAAUCUAGCGACAAAGUUACAAGUACAAGCAUUUAUUUUCUACCAUAGAUGCACCUUUACUUCAUGCUUUGUGUAAAUAAUAAAUCCACAAAACCACCAUUGCUAUCUGAUUACUUCUG